rnacentral:rRNA from 1 species
ACGUAUGGGGCUAGCGUUGUUCGGAAUUAUUGGGCGUAAAGGGCGUCUAGGCGGGGGAUUAAGUCGGGUGUGAAAUCCAUGGGCUCAACCCAGGUUCUGCAGCCAAAACUGGUUCUCUGGAGUAUGGGAGAGGAAAGUGGAAUUCCCGGUGUAGCGGUGAAAUGCGUAGAUAUCGGGAAGAACACCAGUGGCGAAGGCGGCUCUCUGGCCUAGAACGGACGCUGAAGCGCGAAAGCGUGGGAAGCGAACGG